AGUGAACGCUGGCGGUAGGCCUAACACAUGCAAGUCGAACGGCAGCACAGUAAGAGCUUGCUCUUACGGGUGGCGAGUGGCGGACGGGUGAGGAAUACAUCGGAAUCUACUUUUUCGUGGGGGAUAACGUAGGGAAACUUACGCGAAUACCGCAUACGACCUACGGGUGAAAGUAGGGGAUCUUCGGACCUUGCGCGAUUGAAUGAGCGGAUGUCGGAUUAGCUAGUUGGCGGGGUAAAGGCCCACCAAGGCGACGAACCGUAGCUGGUCUGAGAGGAUGAUCAGCCACACUGGAACUGAGACACGGUCCAGACUCCUACGGGGGGCAGCAGUGGGGAAUAUUGGACGAUGGGCGCAAGCCUGAUCCAGCCAUACCGCGUGGGUGAAGAAGGCCUUCGGGUUGUAGAGCCCUUUUGUUGGGAAAGAAAAGCAGCAGGUUAAUACCCCGCUGUUCUGACGGUACCCAAAGAAUAAGCACCGGCUAACUUCGUG
rnacentral:rRNA from 1 species